rnacentral:rRNA from 1 species
UGGGGAAUAUUGCGCAAUGGGGGGAACCCUGACGCAGCCAUGCCGCGUGAAUGAAGAAGGCCUUCGGGUUGUAAAGUUCUUUCGGUAUUGAGGAAGGUUGAUGUGUUAAUAGCACAUCAAAUUGACGUUAAAUACAGAAGAAGCACCGGCUAACUCCGGGCCAGCAGCCGCGGUAAUACGGAGGGUGCGAGCGUUAAUCGGAAUAACUGGGCGUAAAGGGCACGCAGGCGGUUAUUUAAGUGAGGUGUGAAAGCCCCGGGCUUAACCUGGGAAUUGCAUUUCAGACUGGGUAACUAGAGUACUUUAGGGAGGGGUAGAAUUCCACGUGUAGCGGUGAAAUGCGUAGAGAUGUGGAGGAAUACCGAAGGCGAAGGCAGCCCCUUGGGAAUGUACUGACGCUCAUGUGCGAAAGCGUGGGGAGCAAACAGGAUUAGAUACCCUGGUAGUCCACGCUGUAAACGCUGUCGAUUUGGGGGUUGGGGUUUAACUCUGGCGCCCGUAGCUAACGUGAUAAAUCGACCGCCUGGGGAGUACGGCCGCAAGGUUA